rnacentral:rRNA from 1 species
UACGUAGGGUGCGAGCGUUAAUCGGAAUUACUGGGCGUAAAGCGUGCGCAGGCGGUUCGUGAAGUCCGAUGUGAAAGCCCCGGGCCUAACCUGGGAAUGGCAUUGGAAACUUGCGGGCUAGAGUUUGGCAGAGGGGGGUGGAAUUCCUGGUGUAGCAGUGAAAUGCGUAGAGAUCAGGAGGAACUCCGAUGGCGAAUGCAGUCCCCUGGGCUGGAAAUGACGCUCAGGCACGAAAGCGUGGGGAGCAAACAGG